GACGAACGCUGGCGGCGUGCCUAAUACAUGCAAGUCGAGCGGAUGGAAGGAAGCUUGCUUCCUAAAGUCAGCGGCGGACGGGUGAGUAACACGUGGGCAACCUGCCCCUAAGAUCGGGAUAACUUCGGGAAACCGGAGCUAAUACCGGAUAUGAUUAUGUCUCACAUGAGACAUAAUGGAAAGACGGUUUCGGCUGUCACUUAGGGAUGGGCCCGCGGCGCAUUAGCUAGUUAGUGAGGUAACGGCUCACCAAGGCGACGAUGCGUAGCCGACCUGGGAGGGUGAUCGGCCACCCUGGGACUGAGACACGGCCCAGACUCCUACGGGAGUCAGCAGUAGGGAAUCUUCCGCAAUGGACGAAAGUCUGACGGAGCAACGCCGCGUGAGUGAAGAAGGUUUUCGGAUCGUAAAACUCUGUUGUUAGGGAAGAACAAGUACCAUAGUAACUGAUGGUACCUUGACGGUACCUAACUAGAGAGCCACGGCUAACUACGUGCCAGCCGCCGCCGUAACAC
rnacentral:rRNA from 1 species